AUUGAACGCUGGCGACAGGCCUAACACAUGCAAGUCGAGCGAGCGGCGGACGGGUGAGUAAUGUCUGGGAAACUGCCUGAUGGAGGGGGCUAACUAUUGGAAACGGUAGCUAAUACCGCAUACCAUCAGAUGUGCCCAGAUGGGAUUAGCUAGUAGGUGUGGUAACGGCUCACCUAGGCGACGAUCCCUAGCUGGUCUGAGAGGAUGACCAGACACAAUGGAACGUAGACACGGUACAGACUCCUACGUGAGGCAGCAGUGGGGAAUAUUGCGCAAUGGGCGAAAGCCUGAUGCAGCCAUGCCGCGUGUGUGAAGAAGGCCUUCGGGUUGUAAAGCACUUUCAGCGGGGAGGCGUUACCCGCACAAGAAGCACCGGCUAACUCCGUGCCAGCAGCCGCGGUAAUUC
rnacentral:rRNA from 1 species